AGCAGUCGCCGCGGUAAUACGUAGGUGGCAAGAGUUGUCCGGAAUUAUUGGGCGUAAAGGGCUCGCAGGCGGUUUCUUAAGUCUGAUGUGAAAGCCCCCGGCUCAACCGGGGAGGGUCAUUGGAAACUGGGAAACUCGAGUGCAGAAGAGGAGAGUGGAAUUCCACGUGUAGCGGUGAAAUGCGUAGAGAUGUGGAGGAACACCAGUGGCGAAGGCGACUCUCUGGUCUGUAACUGACGCUGAGGAGCGAAAGCGUGGGGAGCAAACAGGAUUAGAUACCCGUGUAGUCCCUGUCUCUUAUAA
rnacentral:rRNA from 1 species